rnacentral:misc_RNA from 1 species
UUAACUUAUUUGCUUUCCACUCAGAGAUACCGCUAUAAUACGUGAGAGUUUGUGAUCUCCGGCGGGCGCCCCGAGCCCCGGGGGGCGCGGGACCGCGGCACCCCGAGGAGUGCCGCACCGCCGAAGCAACUUGGAUAGGUUCGCAAUGGUUUGAAGUUGCCUUUCGGCUUCUUGUAAUGAUCCCUCCGCUGGUUCACCAACGGAGA